UAAAAGAUCGAAAAGACUAAUUAAAGAAAUAAUAUUAAUCAGUCGACUCUGAGUUUAUUUAAAUUCGAAAAUCGACUUACAAUUGGAGUUAAGUCGAUAAUUAAUUUCUCGAGUCUUCACAACCCUAUCCUGGCAUGAAUAUAAUAUUAAUUAUAUUACAAGAUAAACUUUUUUGUUUCUAGUCUUUUGUAAAAUUUAAUCUGAAAGACGCUAGUAGCACUUUGACUUUGAGAGUAGCAACAAUGCCGAUGACUACGAGGGGGUCAUUCAAAUUUCUUUCACCUUAUGACGAAGAUAAAUCAUUGAUUUGUAACAUAAUUAAGCACACAGGACUUUCUUCCAAGUCUACCUUUACUUCAGAUAAAACAAAAAACAACUCGACUUUAGACCUGUCGAACAUCACAACGGAUGAAAAUGCAAACUACAUCAAUGAAAGCUAUAAAAGUGAUUCAUUUUGUAUCCCCAAUGACAAUUUGCAUAAGUAUGAAUCCUUUGAUAGUCCAAGAAUACCCAUGCCACUCCCUAUAAACAAAAAACGUAUCAUAAAAAAAAAAAAUUGUGCAAAACUCAAGCCAGAGAUAACAGGGAUUCAUUGGGAAGGAGCUGGGAAGAAGACCCCCCUAAAACUGACAGCUUCUUCAUCAAUCAAUUUAGUUAUUAAACAGCCUAUUACUUUAGAUAAUACCCCGCCACAAGGGAAAGAGCCUGAUUUGGAUGAUGAGCUUGUAAAGAAAUAUUUCAUCAAGUAUAAGAUGAAAUAUGAAAUGAUGAAAUCUAUUAUGGGAAUUCAUUUGGGUCGAUGCUUAAUUACAAUGAUUUGGAUCUAGAACGGAAAUAUGCAACUAAAUACAAAAUGAAGUUUAUGGCCUUAAAAUUGGCUCAGAGUGAAUUAUCCAAUUCUAACACUAAAUGAAAUAAAAUAAAAUUACAG
rnacentral:misc_RNA from 1 species